rnacentral:rRNA from 1 species
UGGCGAACGGGUGAGUAACGCGUGGGUAACCUGCCUUAUACAGGGGGAUAACAACCAGAAAUGGUUGCUAAUACCGCAUAAGCGCACAGGACCGCAUGGUCCGGUGUGAAAAACUCCGGUGGUAUAAGAUGGACCCGCGUUGGAUUAGCUAGUUGGCAGGGCAACGGCCUACCAAGGCGACGAUCCAUAGCCGGCCUGAGAGGGUGAACGGCCACAUUGGGACUGAGACACGGCCCAG